UACAGAGGGUGCAAGCGUUGUUCGGAAUUACUGGGCGUAAAGCGUGUGUAGGCGGUCCACUAAGUCGGGUGUGAAAGCCCUGGGCUCAACCCAGGAAGUGCACUCGAAACUGGCGGGCUAGAGUAUCGGAGAGGUUGGUGGAAUUCUCGGUGUAGAGGUGAAAUUCGUAGAUAUCGAGAGGAACACCAGUGGCGAAGGCGAGUCCCUGGACAAAACCUGACACUGAGGCACGAAAGCUAGGGGAGCAAACAGG
rnacentral:rRNA from 1 species